rnacentral:rRNA from 1 species
AGCAGCCGCGGUAAUUCCAGCUCCAAUAGCGUAUAUUAAAGUUGUUGCAGUUAAAAAGCUCGUAGUUGAAUUUCGGGACCAAUUUGUUGGUCGUGCCUCGGUACGUACUGGUAUUAUUGGUUUCUCCCUUCUGAAGAACCAUGAUGCCAUUAAUUUGGUGUCGUGGGGAAUCAGGACUGUUACUUUGAAAAAAUUAGAGUGUUUAAAGCAGGCAUACGCUUGAAUACAUUAGCAUGGAAUAAUGAAAUAGGACGUUUGAUUCUAUUUUGUUGGUUUCUAGGAUCGACGUAAUGAUUAAUAGGGAUAGUUGGGGGCAUUAGUAUUCAAUUGUCAGAGGUGAAAUUCUUGGAUUUAUUGAAGACUAACUACUGCGAAAAGCAUUUGCCAAGGAUGUUUUCAUUAAUCAAGAACGAAAGUUAGGGGAUCGAAGACGAUCAGAUACCGUCGUAGUCUUAACCAUAAACCUAUGCCGACUAGGGAUCGGAUGAUGUUAAUUUUUAAUGACUCAUUCGGCG